UACGGAGGGGGCUAGCGUUGUUCGGAAUUACUGGGCGUAAAGCGCACGUAGGCGGCUUUGUAAGUUAGAGGUGAAAGCCCAGGGCUCAACCCUGGAAUUGCCUUUAAGACUGCAUCGCUAGAAUUGUGGAGAGGUAAGUGGAAUUCCGAGUGUAGAGGUGAAAUUCGUAGAUAUCAGGAGGAACACCUGUGGUGUAGACAGCUUACUGGACCACUUCUGACGCUGAGACACGAAAGCGUGGGUAGCAAACAGG
rnacentral:rRNA from 1 species